CCUACGGGUGGCAGCAGUGGGGAAUAUUGGGCAAUGGGCGCAAGCCUGACCCAGCAACGCCGCGUGAAGGAAGAAGGCUUUCGGGUUGUAAACUUCUUUUGUCAGGGAAGAGGAGAAGACGGUACAUGACGAAUAAGCCACGGCUAACUACGGGCCAGCAGCCGCGGUAAUACGUAGGUGGCAAGCGUUGUCCUGAUUUACUGGGUGGAAAGGGCGUGUAGCCGGGUUGACAAGUCAGAUGUGAAAUCCUGCGGCUUAACCGCAGAACGGCAUUUGAAACGGUUGAUCUUGAGUACUGGAGCGGCAGCCGGACUUCCUCGUGUCGCGGUGAACUGCGUAGAUAUUAGGAG
rnacentral:rRNA from 1 species